rnacentral:rRNA from 1 species
GACGAACGCUGGCGGCGUGCUUAACACAUGCAAGUCGAACGGAAAGGCCCCGCUUUUGUGGGGUGCGCGAGUGGCGAACGGGUGAGUAACACGUGAGUAACCUGCCGUUGGCUUUGGGAUAACUUCAGGAAACUGGGGCUAAUACCGGAUAGUAGCUCCUCCAGAAUGGUGGGGGGUGGAAAGUUUCGGCGGUUGGGGCUGGACUCGCGGCUGAUCAGCGUGUUGGGGGGGGAGUGGCGUACCAAGGCUUUGACGGAUAGGCGGCAUGGGAGGGUGGCCGCGGUCCUUGGGCCUGAGAUAGGGACCAGUCUCGUACGGGGGGCAGCAGUGGGGAGUAUUGCGCAGUGGGCGGGAGCCUGAUGCAGCAACGCCGCGGGCGGGAUGACGGCCUUCGGGUUGUAAACCGCUUACGCCUGUGACGAAGCGUGAGUGACGGUAAUGGGUAAAGAAGCACCGGCUAACUACGUG